AUUGAACGCUGGCGGCAGGCCUAACACAUGCAAGUCGAGCGGAGCGGCGGACGGGUGAGUAAUGCCUAGGAAUCUGCCUGGUAGUGGGGGAUAACGUCCGGAAACGGGCGCUAAUACCGCAUACUAGCAGAUGAGCCUAGGUCGGAUUAGCAAGUUGGUGGGGAAAAGGCCUACCAAGGCGACGAUCCGAAACUGGUCUGAGGGGAUGAUCAGUCACACGGGAACUGAGCCACGGUCCAGACUCCUACGGUAGGCGGCGGUGGGGAAUAUUGGACAAUGGGCGAAGGCCUGAUCCGGCCCUGCCGCGUGUGUGAAGAAGGUCUUCGGAUUGUAAAGCACUUUAAGUUGGGAGGCGUUACCAACAGAAUAAGCACCGGCUAACUUCGUGCCAGCAGCCGCGGUAAUAC
rnacentral:rRNA from 1 species